GUGAGCCAGUACAGGAUGGACCCGCGUCUGAUUAGCUAGUUGGUAAGGUAACGGCUUACCAAGGCGACGAUCAGUAGCCGACCUGAGAGGGUGAUCGGCCACAUUGGAACUGAGACACGGUCCAAACUCCUACGGGAGGCAGCAGUGGGGAAUAUUGCACAAUGGGCGAAAGCCUGAUGCAGCAACGCCGCGUGAGUGAUGAAGGCCUUCGGGUCGUAAAACUCUGUCCUCAAGGAAGAUAAUGACGGUACUUGAGGAGGAAGCCCCGGCUAACUACGUGCCAGCAGCCGCGGUAAUACGUAGGGGGCUAGCGUUAUCCGGAUUUACUGGGCGUAAAGGGUGCGUAGGCGGUCUUUCAAGUCAGGAGUGAAAGGCUACGGCUCAACCGUAGUAAGCUCUUGAAACUGGGAGACUUGAGUGCAGGAGAGGAGAGUGGAAUUCCUAGUGUAGCGGUGAAAUGCGUAGAUAUUAGGAGGAACACCAGUUGCGAAGGCGGCUCUCUGGACUGU
rnacentral:rRNA from 1 species